rnacentral:rRNA from 1 species
UACAUAGGGUGCGAGCGUUAAUCGGAAUUACUGGGCGUAAAGCGUGCGCAGGCGGUUCGUUGUGUCGGUGGUGAAAGCCCCGGGCUUAACCUGGGAAUGGCCAUGGAAACUGGCGAACUGGAGUGUGGCAGAGGGGGGUGGAAUUCCGCGUGUAGCAGUGAAAUGCGUAGAGAUGCGGAGGAACACCGAUGGCGAAGGCAGCCCCCUGGGCUAGCACUGACGCUCAGGCACGAAAGCGUGGGGAGCAAACAGG